CAGGUUAAGCUGCUUGAGAAUUUGACAAAUAUACUUUCCAUGACACCAACCAAAUGUUUCUGUCAGCACAAUAAUCUGUGGUGUUAAACACACAUUUUUGGAAACAGAUAACGAAACACCAGCAUAGCUUGUGUGCUGCAGCUCAUUCAUGAUGGCUGUGUCUGUCUACCUUUUAAGGCUGCAGUUAUGGCUAUGCUGAGAGUGGACAGCGUCUCACUGUGGAGCCCCAGUACUACAGAGCUGCACAUUAUCCCAGCCAGCAUGACCAGGUCCACAGUUCCUCAGCCUGGAGUAGCACUUUUCCUGCUGACCUCAGGUCAAAAAGUGCUCCAGUAGAUUUCCGCCUAACUAUAUCCUUCCAACGCCUCAAGUCCACCGACAACCUCUACCAGUAGUCCUGGCUCUAAUCAGAAAGGCGGCACCCCUUGUCCUGGUCCUGCUCAGGGGGGCCCAGACCCAAACCAAGAUUAAUCUGCCCCCAAUGGAUCUGACACCCAGAGAGAAGUUUCCCAUAGCCCCAUUGGAAAGAUCCAAGGUGUAAAGGGCAGUUGUUGUUUUUUUUAUCCCAGAUAAGAUGGAGCUAACAGAUUUGACCAAACUCUAAACUGGAAAGACCAGCUGUGCCAUUUACGCUAUUCCCUUAGCCAUUGGUCCCCCCCAGUAUGAGACAAAUCCCAGUGGCUAUUACUUGCAUACCACAUCUUUCCCCAUGUAUUAUUCAAACCCAACUUCUUCAGUUUACCCUGUUCCAAUGUGGUAUGGUCCCACUCAGGAUGUUAAGUGGUUAUAACCCAGGCCAGGUGAAGCCUCCCACAAGCUUUGAAAAGGACCAUUUCUCCCAAACCAAUCACUGCAGCUUGUCCUGCACCGGUUGGCUCAAGUACCCCCUCAGCCUGGAAAUGUUCCCAGUGGACAUUACCAAGGUCUGAAGAACCCCACUACUACCCAAUUUGGGACACCCUAGACUGGAGGAGGACAGGCUGAUAAGAAAUCCUCUCCUGUCCAGACAGGAAAUUAAACCUGAUUCCUCCAGAAUGGAAAGCUGCACUCCAGCGAUAUACCCCCAGCUAUGGCCCUCCUUAUAGUGUAGGUCAGUAUAAAUAUAAACCCCCCAACUCCAAUAAAACCUGACCCUGUGCCCACCAAUGUUGGCUAUGGCCAAAAUGGAGGAGCUCCUAGUGGUUACUACUACCCGGGUCAGGAAAACCUCUCCCCAGGUUAUUUUGGCAAAAGACUGACUGAACAAACUAUGCCUCCAAAACCUACUGUUGACCCUGUAUCCAAUACCUAUGAUCCUAUCCACUAUGGAAACUAUUUUCUAGUUCAAACUAAACCUUCCAUCUCAAAUUCAGGAAUAGGCCAGGCUGGUAAGAAACCUUCAGUCCAGAAAGGUAGUGAACUUGGUCCACCAAGCCCCCAAAUAAGACCUGCCCCCCCAGAAUUAUACCCCAGCUAUGGCUCUCCUUACAGUAUGGAUAGCCAAUAUACAUUCAAACCCCCCGUCAGAAAAAACCCUCCACCUCCCAUUCAGGAAGAGACCAGGAUGGUGAACUCUCUCCUGGACCAAUUUCUGGCCCUGUUUCUGCACUCAAUCAUUCCAUCACAGGAAGUUCAGAUAGCAAACCUGCACCGCAGAGUUAUACCCCCACCUACAAUGCUCCUUAUAGUGUUGGUAGCCAAUAUAACCAAUCCUGACAAAACAGACUAUCAUUGAGUCCCUGUGCGCUCCAAUGUUGGCUAUGGCCAAAAUUUAGCUCCGAGUGGCUACUACUCAGAUCAGCAUCAACCCUCCACCAACUAUUUUAGUCAUGGACCGACUUGGCCAACCUAUGCUUCCCAUAUCCAUAUUUGAUGUCGGCCCUGUCCACUAUCCUACCCACUAUAGAACCUUUUACCCAUGGCAGAUGUAACUUUCCACCACCAAUUCAGGAGGAAGUGGCCAGGUUGGUAAGAAUCCCUCUCUAGGUCAGCAAGGUAGUGAACAUGGUUCCCCAACCCGCAAAUACAGCAGGCCUGUGCCCCCUACUUAUAGCCCCAUCUUAAAGCACAGGUGCCCCAAGGCCAGUAACUGCCCAAACAGACUACUACCUUGUGCCAUCCAAUAUUGGCUAUAGCCAGAAUGGAGGAGUGCCUAUUCGCUACUACUACUCAGGUCAGGAAAACCCUUCUACCAGUUAGUUAUAUUGAACAAAACAUUCCUCCCAAAGCUUUCAUUAAAGCAAAACCUUACCCCAGCCAAUGUUCCUCUGCACAAAGUAUAGAUGACCCAAGUCGGAACUCUCAGCCACCUUUUCACAGCACUUGGACCACAAACCUGCUUUGGAAGUCAACACGUUUGCACCUUUUCACAGUGGAUUAAACCCAAAUGCAGCCAACCAGUUCGCCCAGAUUACCAGUGAUUCAAGCAUGGAGGCUGAGAGUGGUGAAGAGCCUAGUCCUGUCCAACCCACUCCUGAAUCAGAUGAAGGUGCAGGUCCCAGAGGAUUUAUGCCACAAAUACUUCCUCAGAGAAACUACACCCAGUCCUAGAGUGGAGGCUCCCGUGGUGAUGUCGUUCCAGGAAGACCUGAAUUUAGGAUGACUUAAGUGCAGGCUCGGUGAUCUCCUGACCAUGGACUUCAAUUCUCUACAGCACUUUGAUUACUAAUAAAUAAUUCAAUAUUUCAC